AAAAAAAAAAAAAAAAAAAAGGGGAAAGGCCCGCUGCCGCUCGUGUCCUUCCGCUGUUAAGUGUCCCUUCCGCUGUAAGUUUCCCUGACGAUUUGAUGGAAAGGCUGUACAUAAAGAUAUUUUGUAGCAAUUUCUUGCGCAUAUGAUAUUGCAGAACGGAGAUUUUGGCUUUUACAUACAAUCGAGACUAUGGAUUCUUUGGCAAGUUGUCCCUUCUGUGAUGUAAUUCUCCCGCAAUCGGAACUCCAAAGGCAUGCCACCAGCCACUUUGAGGAGGCGGACGAUGAGCAAUUCACUAUGGAC
rnacentral:misc_RNA from 1 species